rnacentral:rRNA from 1 species
UACGUAGGGGGCUAGCGUUGUCCGGAAUCAUUGGGCGUAAAGAGCGCGUAGGCGGCCAGAUAAGUCCGGUGUGAAAGUCACAGGCUCAACCUGUGAAUGCCGCUGGAAACUGUCUGGCUAGAGUCCGGAAGGGGCGAGUGGAAUUCCUGGUGUAGCGGUGAAAUGCGCAGAUAUCAGGAGGAACACCAAUGGCGAAGGCAGCUCGCUGGGACGGUACUGACGCUGAGGAGCGAAAGCGUGGGUAGCAAACAGG